UAGUGAUUUGUAGAUUUAUCAUGGCCAGGCAUGAAUUACAGGCCAGUGAAAAGUCCCACUCUUGCUUAGCAGUCAUUGAGUAAUGUGUAGUAGCUACAGCACAAAUACUUUUCAAACCACCACGUUUUGGGCUAUUUGGCCAUUGCCUCUAUGAAAACUGAUUUGGGCCAGGGACCUACUUUUUCUCCCCCUUGAUCUAAUUAACACUGUUGUGUCUGUGUAUGAAUAAGAUACUGUGGAUAGACAGCUCCAGUUAAAUCUUGCAAAGUCCUGACCAUUUAAGAGAAUCUAAACUCAAAUGUGAUCAUCUUUACUCUUUCUUGUGCUUAUCAAUUAUAGGUCACUUGACUGGUGGAUAACAGACAAGUGCAAUAUGAUUAAUGGAACAGAUGGAGAUUCUUUUCACCCACUAAUAACCAAAGAUGAGGUCCUUUAUAUCUUCCCAUCUGAUUUUUGCAGGUCAGUGUAUAUUACUUUCAGUGACUAUGAGAGUGUACAGGGACUGCCUGCCUUUCGGUAUAAAGUUCCUGCAGAAAUAUUAGCCAAUACGUC
rnacentral:sRNA from 1 species